rnacentral:rRNA from 1 species
UUUGGUUAAGUUAGAAAGGGCGCACGGUGGAUGCCUUGACACUAGGAGUCGAUGAAGGACGGGACUAACGCCGAUAUGCUUCGGGGAGCUGUAAGUAAGCUUUGAUCCGAAGAUUUCCGAAUGGGGAAACCCACCAUACGUAAUGGUAUGGUAUCCUUAUCUGAAUACAUAGGGUAAGGAAGACAGACCCAGGGAACUGAAACAUCUAAGUACCUGGAGGAAGAGAAAGCAAAUGCGAUUUCCUGAGUAGCGGCGAGCGAAACGGAACAUAGCCCAAACCAAGAGGCUUGCCUCUUGGGGUUGUAGGACAUUCUAUACGGAGUUACAAAGGAACGAGGUAGACGAAGCGACCUGGAAAGGUCCGUCGUAGAGGGUAACAACCCCGUAGUCGAAACUUCGUUCUCUCUUGAAUGUAUCCUGAGUACGGCGGAACACGUGAAAUUCCGUCGGAAUCUGGGAGGACCAUCUCCCAAGGCUAAAUACUCCCUAGUGAUCGAUAGUGAACCAGUACCGUGAGGGAAAGGUGAAAAGCACCCCGGAAGGGGAGUGAAAGAGAUCCUGAAACCGUGUGCCUACAAAUAGUCAGAGCCCGUUAACGGGUGAUGGCGUGCCUUUUGUAGAAUGAACCGGCGAGUUACGAUCCCGUGCGAGGUUAAGCUGAAGAGGCGGAGCCGCAGCGAAAGCGAGUCUGAAUAGGGCGUUUAGUACGUGGUCGUAGACCCGAAACCAGGUGAUCUACCCAUGUCCAGGGUGAAGUUCAGGUAACACUGAAUGGAGGCCCGAACCCACGCACGUUGAAAAGUGCGGGGAUGAGGUGUGGGUAGCGGAGAAAUUCCAAUCGAACCUGGAGAUAGCUGGUUCUCCCCGAAAUAGCUUUAGGGCUAGCCUUAAGUGUAAGAGUCUUGGAGGUAGAGCACUGAUUGGACUAGGGGUCCUCAUCGGAUUACCGAAUUCAGUCAAACUCCGAAUGCCAAUGACUUAUCCUUAGGAGUCAGACUGCGAGUGAUAAGAUCCGUAGUCAAAAGGGAAACAGCCCAGACCGCCAGCUAAGGUCCCAAAGUGUGUAUUAAGUGGAAAAGGAUGUGGAGUUGCUUAGACAACUAGGAUGUUGGCUUAGAAGCAGCCACCAUUUAAAGAGUGCGUAAUAGCUCACUAGUCGAGUGACUCUGCGCCGAAAAUGUACCGGGGCUAAAUACACCACCGAAGCUGCGGAUUGAUACCAAUGGUAUCAGUGGUAGGGGAGCGUUCUAAGGACAGUGAAGUCAGACCGGAAGGACUGGUGGAGUGCUUAGAAGUGAGAAUGCCGGUAUGAGUAGCGAAAGACGGGUGAGAAUCCCGUCCACCGAAUGCCUAAGGUUUCCUGAGGAAGGCUCGUCCGCUCAGGGUUAGUCAGGACCUAAGCCGAGGCCGACAGGCGUAGGCGAUGGACAACAGGUUGAUAUUCCUGUACCACCUCUUUAUCGUUUGAGCAAUGGAGGGACGCAGAAGGAUAGAAGAAGCGUGCGAUUGGUUGUGCACGUCCAAGCAGUUAGGCUGAUAAGUAGGCAAAUCCGCUUAUCGUANNNNNNNNNNNNNNNNNNNNNNNNNNNNNNNNNNNNNNNNNNNNNNNNNNNNNNNNNNNNNNNNNNNNNNNNNNNNNNNNNNNNNNNNNNNNNNNNGGGCUGAGCUGUGAUGGGGAAGCUCCUUAUGGAGCGAAGUCUUUGAUUCCCCGCUGCCAAGAAAAGCUUCUAGCGAGAUAAAAGGUGCCUGUACCGCAAACCGACACAGGUAGGCGAGGAGAGAAUCCUAAGGUGUGCGAGAGAACUCUGGUUAAGGAACUCGGCAAAAUGACCCCGUAACUUCGGGAGAAGGGGUGCUUUCUUAACGGAAAGCCGCAGUGAAUAGGCCCAAGCGACUGUUUAGCAAAAACACAGCUCUCUGCGAAGCCGUAAGGCGAAGUAUAGGGGGUGACACCUGCCCGGUGCUGGAAGGUUAAGGAGAGGGGUUAGCGUAAGCGAAGCUCUGAACUGAAGCCCCAGUAAACGGCGGCCGUAACUAUAACGGUCCUAAGGUAGCGAAAUUCCUUGUCGGGUAAGUUCCGACCCGCACGAAAGGUGUAACGAUUUGGGCACUGUCUCAACCAGAGACUCGGUGAAAUUAUAGUACCUGUGAAGAUGCAGGUUACCCGCGACAGGACGGAAAGACCCCGUGGAGCUUUACUGUAGCCUGAUAUUGAAUUUUGGUACAGUUUGUACAGGAUAGGCGGGAGCCAUUGAAACCGGAGCGCUAGCUUCGGUGGAGGCGCUGGUGGGAUACCGCCCUGACUGUAUUGAAAUUCUAACCUACGGGUCUUAUCGACCCGGGAGACAGUGUCAGGUGGGCAGUUUGACUGGGGCGGUCGCCUCCUAAAGUGUAACGGAGGCGCCCAAAGGUUCCCUCAGAAUGGUUGGAAAUCAUUCGUAGAGUGCAAAGGCAUAAGGGAGCUUGACUGCGAGACCUACAAGUCGAGCAGGGACGAAAGUCGGGCUUAGUGAUCCGGUGGUUCCGCAUGGAAGGGCCAUCGCUCAACGGAUAAAAGCUACCCCGGGGAUAACAGGCUUAUCUCCCCCAAGAGUCCACAUCGACGGGGAGGUUUGGCACCUCGAUGUCGGCUCAUCGCAUCCUGGGGCUGUAGUCGGUCCCAAGGGUUGGGCUGUUCGCCCAUUAAAGCGGUACGCGAGCUGGGUUCAGAACGUCGUGAGACAGUUCGGUCCCUAUCCGUCGUGGGCGUAGGAAAUUUGAGAGGAGCUGUCCUUAGUACGAGAGGACCGGGAUGGACGCACCGCUGGUGUACCAGUUGUUCUGCCAAGGGCAUAGCUGGGUAGCUAUGUGCGGAAGGGAUAAGUGCUGAAAGCAUCUAAGCAUGAAGCCCCCCUCAAGAUGAGAUUUCCCAUAGCGUAAGCUAGUAAGAUCCCUGAAAGAUGAUCAGGUUGAUAGGUUCGAGGUGGAAGCAUGGUGACAUGUGGAGCUGACGAAUACUAAUAGAUCGAGGACUUAACCAUAUAA